rnacentral:rRNA from 1 species
GUGUCAGCCGCCGCGGUAAUACGAACUGUGCGAACGUUAUUCGGAAUCACUGGGCUUAAAGGGUGCGUAGGCGGCUAUUUAAGUAGGGUGUGAAAUCCCCCGGCUCAACCGGGGAACUGCGCUCUAAACUGGAUGGCUUGAGUGAGAUAGGGGUGUGUGGAACUUCCGGUGGAGCGGUGAAAUGUGUUGAUAUCGGAAGGAACGCCGGUGGCGAAAGCGACACACUGGGUCUCAACUGACGCUGAGGCACGAAAGCCAGGGGAGCGAACGGGAUUAGAUACCCCUGUAGUCC